rnacentral:rRNA from 1 species
CCAAAGGAAGCUCCGGCUAACUCCGUGCCAGCAGCCGCGGUAAUACGGAGGGAGCAAACGUUGUUCGGAUUUACUGGGUGUAAAGGGUGCGUAGGCGGCUACGUGUGUCAGAGGUGAAAGCUCACGGCUCAACCGUGGAACUGCCUUUGAAACUGCGUAGCUUGAGUCCGAGAGAGGAUGGUGGAAUUCCUGGUGUAACGGUGAAAUGUGCAGAUAUCAGGAAGAACACCGGUGGCGAAGGCGGCCAUCUGGCUCGGUACUGACGCUGAGGCACGAAAGCUAGGGUAUCGAACGGGAUUAGAUACCCCGGUAGUCCUAGCCGUAAACGAUGUCCACUAGGUGUCGGAGGUCCUACCCCUUCGGUGCCGGAGCUAACGCAUUAAGUGGACCACCUGGGGAGUACGCUCGCAAGGGUGAAACUCAAAGGAAUUGACGGGGGCCCGCACAAGCGGUGGAGCAUGUGGUUUAAUUCGAUGCAACGCGAAGAACCUUACCUGGGCUUGACAUGCAGGGGACAGGUGUAGAGAUACACCCUUCUUCGGACUCCUGUACAGGUGCUGCAUGGCUGUCGUCAGCUCGUGUCGUGAAAUGUUGGGUUAAGUCCCGCAACGAGCGCAACCCUUGUCCUUAGUUGCCAGCACGUCAUGGUGGGAACUCUAGGGAGACUGCCGGUGACAAACCGGAGGAAGGUGGGGACGACGUCAAGUCAUCAUGGCCCUUACGUCCAGGGCUACACACGUGCUACAAUGGCACAUACAGAGGGCAGCGAACCCGCGAGGGGAAGCCAAUCCCAAAAAGUGUGCCUCAGUUCGGAUCGCAGUCUGCAACUCGACUGCGUGAAGUCGGAAUCACUAGUAAUCGCGGAUCAGCAUGCCGCGGUGAAUCCGUUCCCGG